GCGCGCGUGGCGGAAUUGGUAGACGCGCCGGAUUUAGGAUCCGGUUCCCUCGGGAGUGAAGGUUCGACUCCUUUCGCGCGUACCA
rnacentral:tRNA from 6 species